rnacentral:rRNA from 1 species
GACAGCAGCCGCCGCGGUAAUACAGAGGGUGCGAGCGUUAAUCGGAUUUACUGGGCGUAAAGCGUGCGUAGGCGGCUUUUUAAGUCGGAUGUGAAAUCCCUGAGCUUAACUUAGGAAUUGCAUUCGAUACUGGGAAGCUAGAGUAUGGGAGAGGAUGGUAGAAUUCCAGGUGUAGCGGUGAAAUGCGUAGAGAUCUGGAGGAAUACCGAUGGCGAAGGCAGCCAUCUGGCCUAAUACUGACGCUGAGGUACGAAAGCAUGGGGAGCAAACAGGAUUAGAUACCCCUGUAGUCCCUGUCUCUUAUAC